rnacentral:misc_RNA from 1 species
UCCGGUUUGUCACCGGCAGUCUGGCGCGAGUCCCCAACUUAAUGAUGGCAACACGCCACGGGGGUUGCGCUCGUUGCGGGACUUAACCCAACAUCUCACGACACGAGCUGACGACAGCCAUGCAGCAUCUGUGGCGCACCCUCGAAGGUCGGUUGGCUUUCGCCGCCCUACCACGUGCAUGUCAAACCCAGGUAAGGUUCUUCGCGUCGCAUCGAAUUAAACCACAUGCUCCACCGCUUGUGCGGGCCCCCGUCAAUUCCUUUGAGUUUCACCCUUGCGAGCGUACUCCCCAGGUGGAAUACUUAAAAGGUUACCUACGGCACUGACUCAAAAGAGCCAACACCAAGUAUUCAUCGUUUAAGGCGUGGACUAC